rnacentral:rRNA from 1 species
UGGGGAAUAUUGCGCAAUGGGGGAAACCCUGACGCAGCGACGCCGCGUGCGGGAUGAAGGCCCUCGGGGUGUAAACCGCCUUUGACUGGGAGCAAGCCUUCGGGUGAGUGUACCUUUCGAAUACGCGCCGGCUAACUACGUGCCAGCAGCCGCGGUAAUACGUAGGGCGCACGCGUUAUCCGGAAUUAUUGGGCGUAAAGAGCUUGUAGGCGGUUCGUCGCGUCUGGUGUGAAAGCCCAUCGCUUAACGGUGGGUUUGCGCCGGGUACGGGCGGGCUAGGGUGCGGUAGGGGAGACUGGAAUUCCCGGUGUAACGGUGGAAUGUGUAGAUAUCGGGAAGAACACCAAUGGCGAAGGCAGGUCUCUGGGCUGUUACUGACGCUGGGAAGCGAAAGCGUGGGGAGCGAACAGG